CGCAAAGUGAAAACAGGCGAUAAAUCAUUCAAGGUUUCUGACCUAUCAGCUUUCGACGGUAUGGUAUUGGCUUACCGUGGCAGUGACGGUUAACGGGGGAUUAGGGUUCGAUUCCGGAGAGGGAGCCUGAGAAACGGCUACCACAUCUAAGGAAGGCAGCAGGCGCGCAAAUUACCCAAUUCUAACAGUUUGAGAGAGGUAGUAACAAGAAAUAACAAUACAAGGCAAUUAAAAUGCUUUGUAAUUGGAAUGAUAGAAAUUUAAACCCUUUUUAAAGUAUCAAUUGGAGGGCAAGUCUGGUGCCAGCAGCCGCGGUAAUUCCAGCUCCAAUAGCGUAUAUUAAAAUUGUUGCAGUUAAAAAGCUCGUAGUUGAAGUUCUGCUAAAAGUAACCGGUCUGCUUUUAAUAAAAGUGGUAUCUUGGUGUGUAUUUAGCAAUGAUGUCCUUUGAAGUGUUUUUUACUUUAUUGUAAUAAAGCAUAUUCAGGACUUUUACUUUGAGAAAAUUAAAGGGUUUCUA
rnacentral:rRNA from 1 species